GAUGAAGAACGCAGCGAAAUGCGAUAAUUAAUGUGAAUUGCAGAAUUCCGUGAAUCAUCGAGUCUUUGAACGCACAUUGCGCCUCAUGGCAUUCCGUGAGGCAUGCCCAUCUCAGCGUUAGAAAAUAUUCUCAAAUUUUAGUUUUGUGCUAAAAUUUGGAUCAUGUCAAAGAAGCUAUUACUAUUAUUGCGAUCGCUCUUUGGAAAUUGAUAGGUCUUUGAGUUGCUACUCAUAGAACGUGAUGAAUCUUUCUUCGUUCUAUUGUAAUUCACUCUGGUAGUCCUAAAACUUGUAUGCCUGUGGCAUAUCUUGUAAUUUGACCUGAGAUUGGGUAGGGAUACCCGCUGAACUUAAGCAUAUCAAUAAGCGGAGGA
rnacentral:misc_RNA from 1 species